CUACGGGUGGCUGCAGGCGAGAAAACUUUGCAAUGUGCGAAAGCACGACAAGGUUAAUCCGAGUGGUUUGUGCUAAACGAACCUUUUGACAGUCCUAGAAACGCUGUUGAAUAAGGGGUGGGCAAGUUCUGGUGUCAGCCGCCGCGGUAAAACCAGCACCUCAAGUGGUCAGGAUGAUUAUUGGGCCUAAAGCAUCCGUAGCCGGCUCUGUAAGUUUUCGGUUAAAUCUGUACGCUCAACGUACAGGCUGCCGGGAAUACUGCAGAGCUAGGGAGUGGGAGAGGUAGACGGUACUCGGUAGGAAGGGGUAAAAUCCUUUGAUCUAUUGAUGACCACCUGUGGCGAAGGCGGUCUACCAGAACACGUCCGACGGUGAGGGAUGAAAGCUGGGGGAGCAAACCGGAUUAGAUACCCUUGUAGUC
rnacentral:rRNA from 1 species